GCUGGGCUUGGUGGUGUGCACCUGUAGUCCCAGCUACUUGGGAGGCUGAGAUAGGAGGAUCACUUGAGCCCAGGGAGGUUGCGGCUGCAGUGAGCCAUGAUCGUGACACUGUACUCCAGCCUGGGCAACAGAGUAAGACCCUGUCUCAA
ensembl:misc_RNA Metazoa_SRP Metazoan signal recognition particle RNA